rnacentral:rRNA from 1 species
CCUACGUGAGGCAGCAGUGAGGAAUAUUGGUCAAUGGACGAGAGUCUGAACCAGCCAAGUAGCGUGAAGGAUGACUGCCCUAUGGGUUGUAAACCUCUUUUAUAUGGGAAUAAAAUGUUCCACGUGUGGGAUUUUGUAUGUACCAUAUGAAUAAGGAUCGGCUAACUCCGUGCCAGCAGCCGCGGUAAUACGGAGGAUCCGGGCGUUAUCCGGAUUUAUUGGGUUUAAAGGGAGCGUAGGUGGAUUGUUAAGUCAGUUGUGAAAGUUUGCGGCUCAACCGUAAGAGUGCAGUGGAAACUGGCAGUCUUGAGUGCAGGAGAGGUAGGCGGAAUUCGUGGUGUAGCGGUGAAAUGCUUAGAUAUCACGAAGAACUCCGAUUGCGAAGGCAGCUCACUGGAGUGCAACUGACGCUGAGGCUCGAAAGUGUGGGUAUCAAACAGGAUUAGAUACCCUGGUAGUC